GCCGGGGUGGCGAAAUGGCAGACGCGGCGGACUUAAAAUCCGCUGCCCGCGAGGGCGUGCGGGUUCAACCCCCGCCCCCGGCA
rnacentral:tRNA from 1 species